rnacentral:rRNA from 1 species
CCAAUAGCGUAUAUUAAAGUUGUUGCAGUUAAAAAGCUCGUAGUUGAAUUUCGGGAUCAAUGGGUUGGUCAUGCCCUCGGUAUGUACUGAUUUCAUUGGUUCUCACCUUCUAAGGAACCAUGAUGUCAUUUGUUUGAUGUUGUGGGAAAUUAUGACUGUUACCUUGAAAAAAUUAGAGUGUUUAAAGCAGGCUAACGCUUGAAUACAUUAGCAUGGAAUAAUGAAAUAGGACAUCCGAUUCUAUUUUGUUGGUUUCUAGGAUCGAUGUAAUGAUUAAUAGGGAUAGUUGGGGGCAUUAGUAUUCAAUUGUCAGAGGUGAAAUUCUUGGAUUUAUUGAAGACUAACUACUGCGAAAGCAUUUGCCAAGGAUGUUUUCAUUAAUCAAGAACGAAAGUUAGGGGAUCGAAGACGAUCAGAUACCGUCGUAGUCUUAACCAUAAACUAUGCCGACUAGGGAUCGGAUGAUGCUUAUUUUUUAAUGACUCAUUCGGCACCUUACG